AAAGGUGAAACCUAAUUGGCCUGGAGAAGAGCUUGCGUCUGAUUAGCUAGUUGGUGGGGUAAAGGCCUACCAAGGCGACGAUCAGUAGCUGGUCUGAGAGGAUGAGCAGCCACACUGGGACUGAGACACGGCCCAGACUCCUACGGGAGGCAGCAGUGGGGAAUUUUCCGCAAUGGGCGAAAGCCUGACGGAGCAACGCCGCGUGAGGGAGGAAGGUCUUUGGAUUGUAAACCUCUUUUCUCAAGGAAGAAGUCCUGACGGUACUUGAGGAAUCAGCCUCGGCUAACUCCGUGCCAGCAGCCGCGGUAAUACGGGGGAGGCAAGCGUUAUCCGGAAUUAUUGGGCGUAAAGCGUCCGCAGGUGGUCAGCCAAGUCUGCC
rnacentral:rRNA from 1 species